GACGAACGCUGGCGGCGUGCUUAACACAUGCAAGUCGAACGGAAAGGCCCUGCUUUUGUGGGGUGCUCGAGUGGCGAACGGGUGAGUAACACGUGAGUAACCUGCCCUUGACUUUGGGAUAACUUCAGGAAACUGGGGCUAAUACCGGAUAGGAGCUCCUGCUGCAUGGUGGGGGUUGGAAAGUUUCGGCGGUUGGGGAUGGACUCGCGGCUUAUCAGCUUGUUGGUGGGGUAGUGGCUUACCAAGGCUUUGACGGGUAGCCGGCCUGAGAGGGUGACCGGCCACAUUGGGACUGAGAUACGGCCCAGACUCCUACGGGAGGCAGCAGUGGAGAAUAUUGCACAAUGGGCGGAAGCCUGAUGCAGCAACGCCGCGUGCGGGAUGACGGCCUUCGGGUUAUAAACCGCUUUCGCCUGUGACGAAGCGUGAGUGACGGUAAUGGGUAAAAAAGCACCGGCUAACUACGUG
rnacentral:rRNA from 1 species